GCAAACUUGGUCAUUUAGAGGAAGUAAAAGUCGUAACAAGGUUUCCGUAGGUGAACCUGCGGAAGGAUCAUUAUUGAAUAUCUUGCCUUGGUGGGUUGUAGCUGGCCUCUUGGGGCAUGUGCACACCUGUCUUGACUUUAUUCAUCCACCUGUGCAUCUAUUGUAGUUCUUUGCCCUUGAUAGCUUAUGGAAAGCAGGCUAUUAUUCAGUUGAGAUAUACUGGUGUUGAGGAUUACCCACUUUGGUUCUCUUCUUUUUUGGCCUUGCGGGAAGUAUGCCUACCAAGAUGUAAGGGACUAUGUUUCUUAUCAUAAACCAUGUAGUAUGUUGCAAGAAUGUAUUCAAUGGGUCGUUGUGCCUAUAAAAUCUAUACAACUUUCAGCAACGGAUCUCUUGGCUCUCGCAUCGAUGAAGAACGCAGC
rnacentral:misc_RNA from 1 species